rfam:Triticum aestivum genome assembly, contig: Triticum_aestivum_CS42_TGACv1_scaffold_577827_7BL
GAGGUACUCCCUCCGUUCGGAAUUACUCGUCCAAGGAGUGAAUGUAUCUAGAUGUAUUUUAGUUGUAGAUACAUCCAUUUUUGUGACAAGUAAUUCCGGACGGAAGGAGUAACAC